rnacentral:rRNA from 1 species
GACGAACGCUGGCGGCGUGCUUAACACAUGCAAGUCGAACGGAAAGGCCCUGCUUUUGUGGGGUGCUCGAGUGGCGAACGGGUGAGUAACACGUGAGUAACCUGCCCUUGACUUUGGGAUAACUUCAGGAAACUGGGGCUAAUACCGGAUAGGAGCUCCUGCUGCAUGGUGGGGGUUGGAAAGUUUCGGCGGUUGGGGAUGGACUCGCGGCUUAUCAGCUUGUUGGUGGGGUAGUGGCUUACCAAGGCUUUGACGGGUAGCAGGCCUGAGAGGGUGACCGGCCACAUUGGGACUGAGAUACGGCCCAGACUCCUACGGGAGGCAGCAGUGGGGAAUAUUGCACAAUGGGCGGAAGCCUGAUGCAGCAACGCCGCGUGCGGGAUGACGGCCUUCGGGUUGUAAACCGCUUUCGCCUGUGACGAAGCGUGAGUGACGGUAAUGGGUAAAGAAGCACCGGCUAACUACGU